rnacentral:rRNA from 1 species
UACGAGGGAUGCAGGCGUUAUCCGGAAUUAUUGGGCGUAAAGCGUUUGUAGGCGGGCGAGUGUGUUUAAUGUUAAAUCUUAAAGCUCAACUUUGAAAUUGCGUUAAAAACUGCUUGUCUUGAGUAUGGUAGGGGUAAAGGGAAUUCCCAGUGUAGCGGUGAAGUGCGUAGAUAUUGGGAAGAACACUAAACAGCGAAGGCACUUUACUAGGCUAAUACUGACGCUGAGAAACGAAGGGUAAGGUAGCGAAACGGAUUAGAUACCCGUGUAGUCUUACCCGUAAACUAUGGACACUAAACGGUAAAUUUUUAAUUUACUGUUAAAGCUAACGCGUUAAGUGUCCCGCCUGGGGAGUAUGCUUGCAAAAGUGAAACUCAAAGGAAUUGACGGGGGCCCGCACAAGCGGUGGAGCAUGUGGUUUAAUUCGACGGUACACGAAGAACCUUACCAGGAUUUGACAUGCUAGAUAGUUGCUUGAAAGAGUAACGUGCCGUAAGGAAUCUAGACACAGGUGGUGCAUGGCUGUCGUCAGUUCGUGUUGUGAAAUGUUGGGUUAAGUCCCGCAACGAACGCAACCCUUGUCUUUAGUUAUUUUCUAAAGAGACUGCCUGUAAUAAACAGGAGGAAGGUAAGGAUGAGGUCAAGUCAUCAUGCCCCUUAUGUCCUGGGCUACACACGUGCUAUAAUGGGAAAGACAAUGAGCUGCAAAUCUGUAAAUUUAAGCAAAUCUCUUAAACUUUCUCGUAGUUCGGAUUGUGGGCUGCAACUCGCCCACAUGAAGUUGGAAUCGCUAGUAAUCGCCAGUCAGCUAUAUGGCGGUGAAUCCGUUCCCGGGCCU